rnacentral:rRNA from 1 species
AUUAGAGUUUGAUCCUGGCUCAGGGUGAAUGCUAGCGGUGUGCCUAAGGUAUGCAAGUCGAACGAUUCUGCAGCAAUGCGGUAUAGUGGCGAACGGCUGAGUAACACGUGGGAAUCUACCCCUAAGUAAGGCAUAGCCCCUCGAAAGAGGGAGUAAUUCCUUAUGUGAAGGAAACUUCAAAGCAGCAAUGCGCUUGGGGAUGAGCCUGCGGCCUAUCAGGUAGUUGGUGAGGUAAAUGCUCACCAAGCCUAUGACGGGUAGCUGGUGUUAGCGCAUGACCAGCCAGAAGGGCACUGAGACACGGGCCUUACUCCUACGGGAGGCAGCAAUCGGGAAUCUUCCGCAAUGGACGAAAGUCUGACGGAGCGACACCGCGUGAGGGAUGACGGCCUUCGGGUUGUAAACCUCGUUAUAAGCACCGGCUAACUACGUGCCAGCAGCAGCGGUCACACGUAGGGUGCAAGCAUUACCCGGUCUUACUGGGCGUAAAGAGUUCUGUAGGCGGCCAAUCAAGUUGGGGGUCAAAUACCUCGGCUCAACCGAGGAAAGGCUUUCAAUACCGUUUGGCUAGGAGGCGACUAGGGGGUAGCGGAACGUAUGGUGUAGCAGUAAAAUGCGUUGAUAUCAUACGGAACACCAAGGGGGAAGCCAGCUACCUGGGGUUGUCCUGACGCUGAGAGACGAAAGCGUGGGGAGCGAAACGGAUUAGAUACCCGUGUAGUCCACGCUGUAAACUAUGCCUGCUGGAUGCCAGAAUUUUUUGGUGUCGAAGCUAACGCGUUAAGCAGGCCGCCUGGGGAGUACGGUCGCAAGAUUAAAACUCAAAGGAAUUGGCGGGGACCCGCACAAGCGGUGGAGCAUGCUCUUCAAUUGGCUGAUAACCCAAGAACCUUACCAAGGCUUGACAUGUAUGAAGUAGUGAACCGAAAGGGGAACGACCGGUAUCCAGUCCGGAGCUUACACAGGUGUUGCAUGGCUGUCGUCAGCUCGUACCGUGAGGCGUACCCUUAAGUGGGUUAACGAGCGCAACCCCUACUGCUAGUUGUAUCACUCUAGCGGAACUGCCGCGGCAACGCGGAGGAAGGUGGGGAUGACGUCAAGUCGGUAUUGCCCUUACGCCUUGGGCUAGAAGCAUGCUACAAUGGUCGGCACAAAGGGUCGCAAAGCCGCGAGGCUGAGCUAAUCCCAAAAAACCGGCCCCAGUUCGGAUUGGAGUCUGCAAUUCGACUCCAUGAAGCCGGAAUCGCUAGUAAUCGUAGGUCAGCUAUACUACGGUGAAUACGUUCUCGGGUCUUGCACACACC